CACCACUAUCUCUGGUUUCUUCCAUUCCACCCCAUCCACACAGGAGAGGGCAGUUGCAGAGAAAAUCUUUGCUGGGAUAGAGAAAACUUCACCCUCUUACAAGGGAGGAGUGGGUGUCUCCUGUGUUUUGGGUUUUGCGCAGUAGUCCAUGUAGGUCAUUUCUCUUUAAGCAGAGCACUGCUGAGAGGGCAGGCUCCACCAUGAGGUCAGCUGGCCAGAAGGGCUGUGCCAUAGGUCAAGGACAUGUGCAGUAAGCAGAGGGCAUUUGUACCUUGCUGGAGAGGUGUCUACUGCUACUGAUCACACACAGCUCUAGAGUAACCUCAGUUGUUGUGUUCAGCCAAAAGUGCCAAAGCACUCUGUGAAUUGUCUCAUAAGUCCUGCUGGAGGAGCACAAGAUUCAUCCCUUAGCUCUUUGUCUGCAUUGAACAUUCAUGCUUGUUCACUGAUCAAAAACUAAGGUGAUGCAGGAGAACGCUUAAGAAGAAACUUCAAGCCGAUUUUUCUGACUAGUACUGGCCAGGGAAUGCAAAAGAGCAGCAGAUAUCUGUUCAUUAUUGGCUCAAAGUUUUAAAAUUUACUGCUGUAAGGAGUGAGAAGGAAUUAACAGAAUUCCCUGAGACAAAGAAAUUCACAUUGUCAUUGAAUUCAUGGCCUUGAACACUUCCAAACUUGGGCCAUCUGCUUCAAAGGAGAGAAAAGUGGCAGUUCCAAGACCUCAGGUUGCCAUCGAGACUGGCCACGUGUGUUCCAUUAGCAUGUGGCUUUAACAGGUUGUUUUGAUGAUGCAGAGACAGGUGCACCUCCUUCCUAAGGAUGUGUCUGAGUUUCCUGGAUGCAGAGAUUCCUUUUGCCACAGCUUCUGGACUGCCUAUUCUUCAUGUGGCCACAAGCUGCAGUGUUUGCAGGGGCAAAUUAUUACAAAGAUGUGUCCAGCCCAGUUGUCUGCCAGUAGAUACAGGUUUAAAUCUGUUACUUACUGCAAACAUUGCAGCAGCUGUUACUGCACUCAUCUCUGGACCAAACAGCUUCAACCAAAGAAUCCUGAACUUUUUGUUGUAUUUGCUUGUGUCUGACAUUUUUUGGUUUUUCAUUCCCUAUUGUAGCUAGGAAUUACUCAAAAUUGAGUUUGCUUUGCACUUGUUUGUUUGUUUGCUUAUAGAGUAAUGUGGUAGAAAUUCUUGUCCUGUUAGAAGUGUUGAUAUGCAGAAUUGAUGACUAUAAGGUCGUCUGCUCUCCUGAGGUUCUGAAGAAGCAUCCACACCAAAUGAGUAAGGGUUCAGUUCUACAAAAUCUUGGAAACUGCUCAUUCCCAGAGAAUUUUGCAUUCAUCAUAGGGGAGUUAAAAGCCUUCUCUGCUGAAUAAGCCCUUAUAUCCUGUUUUAUCACUGGAUAUAGCAUUACUCUGCAGUCCAAAGCAAGAUUUUCAAUUUCCAGAAGAUUAAAUUAACUUUUCUUCCAUAAGAGUUCAGAGACAAUUGAAACAUUUUUGCUUUCCUUUGCUUGCCCCCACUAGGAGGCAUAAACACAAAUAAGAAUUAUAAAAAAUACUUUUCAAAGUGCUGAAAACAGAAGGAGUACACUGCAAUAAUGGAAAUACAUCAGGUUAAUGUCAUUUUUAGAGUCCUCACAGAAAAACCUGGACAUCUUUAAAAAUAAAUAAAUAGAAAUUUGUUUUAGAAAGAGGAUCUUAACUGUAAAAUCAUCACUGUGUUAUCAGAGAAUGACAAAUCCCCCUAGUAAAUGCCCAGCUUUAUAUUUCUUUAAUAGUUGGAACUACUGAAAAGCCUGAAUUGGGUCAGAGUGCUUUUAACCUGGCUGAAAAAAAAUCUAAAGAUGGGAUUGUUCAAUUCUAUCAAUUCUUCAUUUCCUAUUACCAGAAAUCCUGUUUGGGGGUUUCAAUAUAUGAAAGGUAAAAAGAUCACGAGGCAACACUGAAGCAGGUAAAUAUUGACAGAUACAAAGCACAUACCAGUGUCCUACUGAGACUAAAAACAACUGCCUGUGCUGCUCAGGGACCAAGUCAAUCCUAUGGAUGGGAGCUGUCAGGGCCUUUUUGUGUACUGAAAGAGUGGCUGCAGUAUGGUGAGCUAAGCAAAGGACAUUGUCAAGAAUUCCUUCUGAGGCACUGCCUCUCUGUGCUGUCCCAAUGAAGAGCUCUGCCUUCAAAACACGAUUGCAGCCCUGCAGGAUGGACAGUGGUGCAGAGCAGUAGUGGCACAUCCUUCACUCCAGCCUCACACCUCUCUCCCACCCCCAUCAUUGCACUGUGGGACAAACACAUGACAUUUGCUGCCACCGUAUUGUUCAUGUUACUUAGAAAAACUGCUGUACAGAGAGCUUUUAUCUGCCUUGUUUAUUUAAAUUGCAAGCUCUUUUGCAUGAGUUGUCUGCUAAUAUGUAUCUCUGCAGUGUUUAAAAUGCUGGACAAAAAAGUGAAGGGACACCUUUCAAUUCUUUGUGU